rnacentral:rRNA from 1 species
UACAGAGGUCUCAAGCGUUGUUCGGAAUUACUGGGCGUAAAGGGUUUGUAGGUGGCCUGCUAAGUCAGACGUGAAAUCCCUCAGCUUAACUGGGGAACUGCGUCUGAGACUGGCAGGCUUGAGGACAGGAGAGGAACGCGGAAUUCCAGGUGUAGCGGUGAAAUGCGUAGAUAUCUGGAGGAACACCGGUGGCGAAGGCGGCGUUCUGGACUGUUUCUGACACUGAAAAACGAAAGCCAGGGGAGCAAACGGG